rnacentral:rRNA from 1 species
AUACGGAAGGUCCGGGCGUUAUCCGGAUUUAUUGGGUUUAAAGGGAGCGCAGGCGGCACUUCAAGCGUGACGUUAAAUUUCGGGGCUCACCCCCGUUGUGCGUCGCGAACUGUUGUGCUUGAGUAGGCGGCAGGGAGGCGGAAUUCGCGGUGUAGCGGUGAAAUGCUUAGAUAUCGCGAGGAACUCCGAUAGCGCAGGCAGCCUCCCGUUGCUUUACUGACGCUCAGGCUCGAAGGUGCGGGUAUCGAACAGGAUUAGAUACCCUGGUAUUGCGCACUGUAAACGAUGGAUGACCGCUGUUGGGCCUUUUGGGUUCAGUGGCCAAGGGAAAUCGUUAAGCAUCCCACCUGGGGAGUACGCCGGCAACGGUGAAACUCAAAGUAAUUGACGGGG